GGGAAGCUGUAGGAGUAGUUAACCAAAUGGGUUAAGGAGUUUCGUGGCCUUAAACAUCAUUAGUAAAGCAUAAUACUCAUCAGGUUCCAGUAAUUCAAGGGGGAGUGGAAGAGAGGUUCAACUUGCAAGCAUAAAGCGAACAUGGGGAAGAAAUUUUGGGGUGUUCGAAGUGUCAGGAGGACAAUGAAGGCCCAUGCCCUCGAUGUGAGUUUUUGCAGAUGAAGCUAAUGGAGCAAUACACCAUAAUUGGUGAAUUUGAAUUGCAGCUCAAAGGUGUGGAGGAAAAGUUGCAGAAGCUGGAAUUGAAGAAAGAGAAGAUGAAGGAAGCAAUGCAUAGUAUGAGUGAUGAAAUGUUGAAGAUAAAUUUUGAGAGUUUGAAGACUGCCAAAGGGGAAAAUUAUGUUGUAAUUGCUUAAGGCUUGUCAUGGGUUCCGUUUGUAUCCUUGCAAUUUGGUUAUAUUAAAUUAAGCUUGCGAGUAAUGAAUUAAGGUAUGAACUGUUUGUAAUCUGAAUUAUCAUGAAUGUUAUUAGUAUGAAAAGCUUAUCUUGCA